rnacentral:rRNA from 1 species
AGAGUUUGAUCCUGGCUCAGAACGAACGCUGGCGGCGCGUUUUAAGCAUGCAAGUCGAACGGGAUAAAGGUGCUUGCACCUUUUGAGAGUGGCGAACGGGUGAGUAACACGUAAGUGACCUGCCCUGGGGAUGGGGAUAGCUCAUGGAAACAUGGGGUAAGACCGAAUACCGUAACACUAUGUUGAAGGUUAUGUUACGAAAAGAGCUACGGCUCUGCCCUGGGAUGAGCUUGCGGCCAUUAGCUAGUUGGUGAGGUAAAGGCCCACCAAGGCAACGAUGGGUAGCCGGCCUGAGAGGGUGAACGGCCACAUUGGGACUGAGACACGGCCCAGACUCCUACGGGAGGCAGCAGCUAAAAAUCUUCCGCAAUGGGCGAAAGCCUGACGGAGCGACGCCGCGUGAACGAAGAAGGCAGAGAUGUUGUAAAGUUCUUUUCCUGUUGAAGAAUAAGUGGAAGAGGGAAUGCUUCCAUGAUGACGUUAGACAGGGAAUAAGCCACGGCUAAUUANGUGCCAGCAGCCGCGGUAACACGUAAGUGGCGAGCGUUGUUCGGAUUCAUUGGGCGUAAAGGGCGUGUAGGCGGCGUAUCAAGCUUGGUGUGAAAUAUUUCGGCUUAACCGAAAAGACGCGCUGAGAACUGAUAUGCUAGAGUUCAAGAGGGGGAGUUAGAAUUCCAGGUGUAGGGGUGAAAUCUGUAGAUAUCUGGAGGAAUACCGGUGGCGAAGGCGAACUCCUGGCAAUGAACUGACGCUGAGGCGCGAAAGCGUGGGUAGCGAACAGGAUUAGAUACCCUGGUAGUC